UACGUAGGGAGCAAGCGUUGUCCGGAAUCAUUGGGCGUAAAGCGCGCGUAGGCGGCCCGAUAAGUCCGCUGUGAAAGUCAACGGCUCAACUGUUGGAUGCCGGUGGAUACUGUCGGGCUAGAGUACGGAAGAGGCAAGUGGAAUUCCUGGUGUAGCGGUGGAAUGCGCAGAUAUCAGGAGGAACACCGGCGGCGAAGGCGGGUCUCUGGGCCAUAACUGACGCUGAGGAGCGAAAGCGUGGGGAGCGAACAGG
rnacentral:rRNA from 1 species